GUGAAUCAUCGAAUUUUUGAACGCAAAUUGCACUCUCUUCGGAGAGAAAGCCUGUUUGAGGGUCAGUAUUAAUAAAAAUAGGUGUGUUGACUCUUUGUUAUGCUCCGGAGUUUGGGUUAUCUUAAUAUCCUUUAGUUUUUAAGAGAUUUAAAAUUGAUUUUCUUUGUGCCUUUUAGAUGAAAAUAAAUUAUUUUUUUUAUUCGUCUUUCUUAACGCUUAGAAUCCUAUUAGUUGUCAUCUAAUC
rnacentral:misc_RNA from 1 species